GGGGGUGACAGGCUUUCGACCUAAGUCGGCAGUCUGGAAGUGGCAUGUAGAGGUUGCUAGGAGGCCUCUUUAAACACCUGGCAUACACAUAAACGCAAGUUACAAUCCAGUAGCCGAGGCUGAGUCAAUCUUAGCCAAGGAUGCGUUAAGUGUUCCCCAAUUUGCGGGAACCAGUCCAUUAGUAAGCGUUCUGGGAUACUAGUAGGACUUCGAUUACGCAGAACCCCUUAAGGGCCUAGCUUUCGGGCCUUUAAGUGGUACUAACGGAAGUUGCUUCUGUUUAAAUCCUUUCUAUUGGAGUUAAACAGAAAAAGAUAAAAAAUAGAAUAAACAUGUAGAGGCUUUCGGGUUGAGAUUUGGGGACCCGAGUUCGAAUCUCGGCACCUCCACCA
rnacentral:tmRNA from 1 species